GAAAUGCGAUACUUGGUGUGAAUUGCAGAAUCCCGUGAACCAUCGAGUCUUUGAACGCAAGUUGCGCCCUAAGCCUUUUGGCCGAGGGCACGUCUGCCUGGGUGUCACAAAUCGUCGUCCAUCAAUCCUAUAAGGAUUUUGGACGGAAGCUGGUCUCCCGUGUGUUACCGCACGCGGUUGGCCAAAAUCCGAGCCUAGGACGCCCAGAGCGUCUCGACAUGCGGUGGUGAAAUAAGCCUCUUCAUAACGUCGUGCGCUCUUGUCCAAAAGCUCCCGAUGACCCAAUGUCUUCUAUGCGACCCCAGGUCAGGCGGGAUCACCCGCUGAGUUUAA
rnacentral:rRNA from 1 species